UCCAGCUUAACGCUAGCAGUCCCUCUAGAGUGCCCAACUUAAUGAUGGCAACAAGAGGCGUGGGUUGCGCUCGUUGCGGGACUUAACCCAACAUUUCACGACACGAGCUGACGACAGCCAUGCAGCACCUGUCUCUCUGUCGUAUUGCUACGAAAACUGAAUUUCUCCAGCGAUCAGAGGAUGUCAAGACUAGGAUAAGGUUCUUCGCGUUGCGUCGAAUUGAACCACAUGCUCCACUGCUUGUGCGGGUCCCCGUCAAUUUCUUUGAGUUUUAAUCUUGCGACCGUACUCCCCAGGCGGAGCGCUUAACGCGUUAGCUUCGUUACUGAAAGGGUUAACUCUUCCAACAACAAGCGCUCAUCGUUUAGGGCGUGGACUAC
rnacentral:misc_RNA from 1 species